rnacentral:rRNA from 1 species
UACGGGGGGGGAGACGUUGUUCGGAAUUACUGGGCGUAAAGGGCUCGUAGGCGGCCAACUAAGUCAGACGUGAAAUCCCCAGGCUCAACCUGGGAACUGCGUCUGAUACUGGAUGGCUUGAAUCCGGGAGAGGGAUGCAGAAUUCCAGGUGUAGCGGUGAAAUGCGUAGAUAUCUGGAGGAAUACCGGUGGCGAAGGCGGCAUCCUGGACCGGCAUUGACGCUGAGGAGCGAAAGCCAGGGGAGCAAACGGG